AUGUACAUUAUUGUCUCCGGACGGAAAACUUUGCACCAUACCAGAAUGCAGCCAUGUCUCCUGAAACCACCUCUCUUAAAACAGAAAGAAAAAGAGAAUCAAGACAGAAAGCAGCAAAGAAGGUCAUUACCUGAUAAGAGGAUCAAUUCAUUAUGGAAAUUAACAAUCUGCUUGACCAGAAGCAUCUUGAUUGGAAUCCUCAUAACAAGAACUGAAACUAGGUAUUGCUCAAAAUACCAGGCUCCACAAAGGGAUGUCUGCUCUAAUGGUAUUUAUUGAUCUGUAUUAUGUUGGAGUCAGCCUGAAUAAACAGAGAUGACCACUACA
rnacentral:lncRNA from 1 species